UACGUAGGGGGCAAGCGUUGUCCGGGUUUAUUGGGCGUAAAGAGCGUGUAGGCGGCCAGGUAGGUCCGUUGUGAAAACUGGAGGCUUAACCUCCAGCUGUCGAUGGAAACCAUCUGGCUAGAGUCCGGAAGAGGAGAGUGGAAUUCCUGGUGUAGCGGUGAAAUGCGCAGAUAUCAGGAAGAACACCCGUGGCGAAGGCGGCUCUCUGGGACGGUACUGACGCUGAGACGCGAAAGCGUGGGGAGCGAACAGG
rnacentral:rRNA from 1 species